GACGAACGCUGGCGGCGUGCUUAACACAUGCAAGUCGAACGGAAAGGCCCUGCUUUUGUUGGUUUCUCGAUUGGCGAACGGGUGAGUAACACGUGAGUAACCUGCCCUUGACUUUCUGAUAACUUCAGGAAACUGGGGCUCAUACCCGAUAUGAUCUCCUGCAGCAUGGUGUGGGUUGGAAAGUUUCGGCGGUUGGGGCUGGACUCGCGGCUUAUCAGCUUGUUGGUGUGGUAGUUGCUUACCAAGCCUUUGACGGGUAGCCGGCCUGAGAGGGUGACCGGCGACAAUGGGACUGCGAUAGGGCCCAGAAUCCAACCGGAGGCAGCGGUGGGGAAUAUUGCACAACAGGCGGACGCGUGAUACAGCAACGCCGCGUGCGGGAUGCCGUCCUACGGGUUGUAAACAGCUUUGGAAUGUGACGAAGCGUGAGUGACGGUAAUGGGUAAAGAAGCAACGGCUAACUACGUG
rnacentral:rRNA from 1 species